GGAAUAGAGGAUUUUGUUGGGGAACUUGUGCUCUUAAUGUCUUAUGCAAUCCUAUGCCCUGUAUAGCGGUGUCUUAUUGACAGCACUUUAUUUGCCACAUCAGGGUGUCUUAUCAAGAGCACUUCAUUGCUCUGUAAACAAUCUCAAUAAAAUUAAGAAACAUGCAAGUCCUAAAAGUGUAAACUUCUAUAUCAUAGUCUCGAGGCAAUCAAGGGCAUCCAAAAUGCAAUGAUCAAAGGCAAAAAUCUCGAGACUACUUUAACAGAUACAUGAUAGCCAAAGUGGCUUGGUCUAAUGAGCAAACUACAAGAUAAUUCAUACGAUAAUGGUCAUUCCAUACCACACUUGUUUUGGAGAUGAAAAAUACAGAGGACCCAAUCUUGUCUAUGAACACUCUGAUCGAAAACAAGAUGAUUGUAAAGCUUUAGUUUAAGAAUUACAAGAUGCAUCACAAAAGAAAAAUCAAGAUUCACCGUACCAUGAGGUACCACCCAGUAUGGGUGGUAUAUACCGAUCCGAUAAGGGACUAGAACGGACGGUACAUAACAGUUUGUUAGUACACCCCACCGUAUUAUAUGUCAAUACAUCGAUAUGAUUUGAUACGAACCAUACCAAUGGCUAGUGGAUACACCGGUACGGACCGAUAUGGUGAACAAUGAGAAAAACUAUUCCGAAGGACUAAAAGUCACUUACUGAGAAAAGAUAACUCAUAAGGAUCUGUUAGGCUUAAACAACAAGGAUUAAUUUUGAAGAAAGAUAUAUCCUUGAUGAAAGACUGGAAGAGUCUGUUGCUGUUAAAAUUAAUUGAGCAGACUAAGAUUCCAUUGAACUUAGAAACAAUUAAAUGCAUUAAAUAGUUUAAAAUCGUACAAAAGAAUAUUUUUCCUUUUUUUAUAUUUUCAGAAGAAUAUGCAAAUAAGAAGAAAGAAUGCAAUUAAAAAAAAGACAAAAAAAGGUAAAAUUUCAUGCGGCUUAAGAAGAUAAUUGGAAAAUAAAGUGAAAAAAUACAUAAGAAACUAUCAAAGGCAUCACAAAAAAGGAGGAAAAAGUAAUUAGAGGCAACAGAAAAAGCAUUAUUUGGAAGAACAUUCAAAAUAAUGGCUAAUUUCAAUGUCUAUCUGUUUGAUUUAAUUCCAUUUCAAUGCCUCAAAAAUCAAAUUUGGCUCAAGUUCUAUAAGAAAAUUAAAUUAAAGCCCAACUCCCCUCUUGUUCAUAUUUUUUAGUUGAUGAUCUUAACAUAAGGAUGAAUUGUACAACAUAUAAAUAUUAACGUUUGAAGAAAAGAGCUAGAAAAUAAAGGGUAUAACUAAUGCUAGCAAUCUAAAUUUGCCCAGUAAAAUUCUUUAGAUGGUCAGCUGUAUUAUUCAGCAAAAGAGGACUGAAGUAGGCAUGCUUAUAAUUUAAGAAAAUAUUUAUUAAAUUGGAGAGAAUCAUCUAGUGUAUUAUCAUUCACCCCAAGACAAUGCAUGGCAAGAGACAAAUCACUUAAAUGGACCCCUUUUUAAGGAUGGCAAACUAAGCAGGCACCAUAAAGAAAAUAGCUAAUUCGGGCAGUGAUAUCAGGUUAACAUGCAAUGAGAAACACAUUAACGCAGCCACGCAAGCAUUCUGAAAUCUUAACUGUAGCAGAAUGACAAAGGAAUGCAUGAUGAUGCAGCUAUACCGUCCAGUGAUGUUCCUCACACCACUUUUCAAGGACUCCAGAAACUGGGGCAACAGUACAACUAAAUCGGCAUCAACCAGUAGACAGAAAAACCAAAGAAUCCAGGAAGAGAAAAACAUAGAAAGGACUGCGUAUAUUUACUUGAAUCCAUAAAGAAAAUUCCAUCAACAAGGCAAAUAACAUCAUGGAAGGCCUAUAACACCAUAGACGGCAACAUGGAUUCGUUUUCUACGAACCCGGCUGCUUGCAAAACCCGAUCGACCCCAAGAACUCACUUGAUCGACAACGCAAACAGAGAUCGCUUAAAAAAUCUAAAUAAAAACAAAUUAACACGUAAAGAAAGCAAUCAAGAUCCACAAACGGCUCCGAUCAAAAACCACAUGCCCUGAAAUAGCCCUAAAUUGAACAACGAACCUCAAGACCAUCACAUUAAUCACAAGAUAAGGAGAUCAACAAAUCCGAUCUUAUUAAUCGACAAAAGAAAUAGAAACAAAGAGAGAGAGGAAAAAGGAUCUUGAUCAAGAAAAAGAAAGUGGAGAGAAGAAGAACUUACGGACGAUCGGAGGAAAGCCAUUUCGACAGAGCGAAGAACCGGCUCACAUACGAAUCCUUCAACCCCUUGUUGCGACUAUAAAAGAGAAGGAGAGGAGGAGAAGCAAAGAGGAAAAGAAGUGGAGAGGAAGCUAACGUACACCGAAAGUGAGAGAAAAAAGGAAUCGCCUUUUUCCAACGAUGAUGGCUGUGGGAAUUUUUCCGCUUUCUUAUUUUCGGAUAAAAGAUUGCGACUCCACCAGAUGGCACACGGAAAGCGCGCAUGAUAAGAUACGGUCUCUUUUUGACCGUCUGAUGGCGGCUCAACGGUGGAUGGAGUGGAGGGUUGGGUAUUGCCGCUCCUGUGAUCGCGUCUGCUAUUUAGAAUGGGCCGGGCUGGAUGUUUCUCGGAGGUUUACGUCAUUAAUAUAUUUAUGAUCGUUUUAUCUUAUGUUUUCAAAACAAUUACAAAUUAAAAGACAUAUACAAAAGCCUAUGGUUUUGGUUUUGGAAUUGGGAUGAGAAAAAUAUUAAUAUAUUUUUGUCAAAUUAUAUCACAUUGUAUCUGAUGUUUUCUUGUUUAAAAAAAUUAAAAUUUUGUAUUUAUAUAUUUUAAUUAUUGAUUUAUGUUAAUCGAAUUUGAAUAUUAUUAUGUUUUGUUCUAACAAUCUAAAGCAAAAUCUGUCCAUUCAAUUAUUUUCUUUUGUUGGUAUUUUUUUUUCUUUUUUUCUAUUAAAUAUGUAAAUUAUUUUUUUUUUAUCUUUUUUGGAGAUCCAUCGCAUACAAUUCUCUUAGCAGAUUCAAAUCAGCACUUAAGCUGAAACAGUACAUUCAUCAGAUCCUUAUAAGUCAAUCUUAAUCCUGUCCAUUUUCGAUGUGAGACUAAUCAAGAGUGUUACACUUACUGUGGCAGCUUGUGCCUUGCAUACGUAGAGCUUCCCAUCAGACACGGACGCUGCUAUGAGCCGAUGCCGUCGUGGAGGUCUCCGAGAUGUUAGCAGUCGCCACCGCAUCAGCGUCAAACUAAGUAACCGUGUUUUCGGAGCAAAUAGUCAACCCUGUGUAGUCAAUCUUUAGCAGAUGGAUCAAUGCGCGGGGAUCUGGUUUACCUGUGACGAGAACUCCUCAGGGCCGCCGGAGUCGGUGAUGGACUUCUUGGAAGUGGGUGUGUGUGAUCAUGACGUUGACGUUACUGUUGGGAUCGAGGUUGUCUUCGAACCUCAGCACCUUCUCGCUGGCGUUCCAUUUGGAGGGGGAUCAAUAGCUUGAAUCCGUCGCCGUUGUAGGGCAGGAAGUCCGGGUUGGUCUUCGGCUUCCGGAGGACAUUAGCUGCACCAACAUGGCACCGGUUUACAUGCUGAUGCAAUCUGAACGUAGAGAUCUACCUGCUUCACCGUAGGCGGCAUCAGCAGGCGAGACCUUGGAGCCGAUUGCCGCAGCACCGACGAGUCCGGGAGGUGGUGGCGGAGGGAGCAGGGUGGUGGAGGAAUCAUGCAGACGAAUAUAUCGGUAGAAUCUUUAGGUUGCUGGUCAAUGAUGACUGGUUCUUCCGAUCGGAAGGUAAUUUGUACUGAUUGGUGAGCCUUUUGUUUCUAUCAGACAAUCAUAUUCACAAGCUGACACAGAUCACAUCAUAAAAUUUCAAGUCUUCUCAAUGGUCUGUUGCACGACUUACCAGUUCACAAGGAGCUGAUAUCUGAAGUCAAUUUAUGCUACACUAAGCCUUCACAUGACAGUAAAAACAAAGAUGAUCAUUGUCAUCAACAUUGAAUACAUAAAAAAGCUCUGCAACUAAAGGCUGGGCUGCACUGUUUCUUAAUCUUGAGGAAUGCAUCUUCAUCCUCUGUCCAGAUUCCUAUUUAUUUAAUAUCAUUCCACAAUCAUAUUUUUUUUAUUUAUGAUGAUUUUUUUCCUCUCUUUUUUUCUUGAGAGUUUUCUGUGGAAGAUAUUAUUAGAACAAAAUUUGUUUUAAUGCAGUAAACAAAAUUAUAUCAUAGUUUUUUUUAAUAUUAUAUUAUAAUAUUUUUUUCUAAUAUUAUUAUAUAUAAUAUUUGUUAAUAUUGUUAUAAAAUUUAUAUAAUAUAUUUUUAGACUGUGUUAUAGUAUUCUUUUAGUAUUAAUAAAAAUAUUAUAAUAUAGUAUAAAAAUAUUAUAACUAGACCAAUUCGUCCUAUGAAUCGGUCGAUAGGAAAAUAAUAAUAUUUCAGGUAUUAGGUAAAAAAAAUGAUGUAUAAAAUUUUUGGACAUGAAAGGCACUUCCAAAAUUUAUUUAUUUAUUGAAAAUUCAUUGUAAAAAAAUAAUUAAUGGUAAAUUUUAGGAGAAUUUACCAAAGGCUAAAGUGGGUAGAGCAUUAAAUUCAAAGCCACAAUGUCUACAGUCAACCCACAUGACAGAACCAAAAAGAAAUGGAGUAGUUUAGAAAGGCCAAAGCAAAAAAGUGGGAGACCAAAACAAGUCUGAUGGAUGCCUGAACCUCGAGUAGGGAUGGCACAGAGAAUCCCAGUUAGAUCCAAGCACUCUCAGACAAAUCCCAGGCCGAAGGAGUACUGAUGGCAGCACAGUAAGCCAAAACUCCAUUUUUCUUUUUCCUCCAUAGCAAGAUGAGAGGGAAGGACUGCCCUCAGUCACACUCCUCUUUGUCUCUGCAGAAUGUACAUGUGGGUGAGGAGCCCCAAAAGUGAUUCUUCCUCAUACCUAUCUCACCCUACUACUAUGACACCCCAACAAUCCAUCUCUGACCUUCCUCACAUGAAGCACGCCUAUGGCCAGCUGAGUGACAUAGGGUUUCUCUAGGCAGGUACAGAGGAGGAGGAGGAGGAGGGAUAAUUUUAGGGUUUCUUUUUUAUCUUUAUCUUUUGAACCGCGGUGGGUGGUGGUGGUGGACGGGUAAGCUUAAAGUUAAGAGCGUGCUCGGGUUCUUUUACUUGGAUGUGAGCUCCUGCUGUAGGUUUCCUCUCCUGUAUCCGAUGGGAAGUUGGUAGGUUUUGCUGCUGCGAGGAGCAGCAACAGUACUUCCAGACGGUAAGCUUCGUUUCGCCAUCUUGCUCUCCCUCCUCGAGAACAGCUACGAGGGUCGAAUGAAGUCGGAGACGAAGGAGGUCGUGAAGAAGAGGUGAAAUGGACUGUGCCUGGCUCCCUGCAUGCCACUCGUAUCGACGCCAAUCAUACCCACGGAUUGGCAACUGCGGCUGGCGUGUGAGGAGCCAAGCAUACCUCUCUCUCUCUCUCUCUCUCUCUCUCUCUCUCUCUGAGAUCUUUGUUCUCUAUGCUGUUUCGCAAAGCUAAACUCCAUCGAAGACUGAAUCUUUUAUGGCUUUUUCAUUUCUAUGAUUCACUCGACUAAUUCUCGCCUCAAAUAUGAUGCAGAAUUCACUUGGAGGUUUGCGCUUACACUGCAAUCUAGCGUUACAUGCUUAUCUCUUACACAGCCCUCACUCAUCUGCCUGUGUGUUGUUACAGUAUACACAUACACAUCCUUAAGAACACUACAUAGACAAAUGUGCAACAGCUACACUUUGGGUUCUUAUUUGCUGAUGCACAAAAGCUGAAAGUUUAAACUUCUGCGUUUAUAUAGUGAUGCUUUUGAUCUUAGCCAUCUUCUAAAGGUGGCUCAUAUCACAUUUUUCUACAUGCCAUCUCAAGAAACCUUUCUCCAUUCCUUGUGUUCGGACAUAUAUUGCAUGAUUUUUUUUUGAGAGGGUAUGAGCUUCAAGUGCGCGUCUCAUCAACACCACCAAAUUAGCAGCACAUAUAUACUUCAUUUUUAAUGAAGAUUGAGAAGACUCUUUCUCUGGAUUCUCAACAUUCCCAGGGAGAAGUUGAAUCUUUGUUGAGAAGUCCACCGUAAUCGUAUCUGAUACAUAAAAGUAUGAUUACAUUUCUUGUUGAGUUGUAGUCUGUACAUUUCUCGUAUCAUGCUAAUAGCCUGUUUGAAAUAACUAAGUUCUAUGUAAUUCAAUAUCCACUGGCUCUUUUGCUUCCAUGGUCUAACUUUCUUAGGUAAACAUAACUAUAGUUACUUGCGAAUGAUGUUUGUGGAUUAUUCAAAGAUAGGGAUACUGUUCUUUCUCUGUCAUAGAUGUUCAACACCUUAUCGUUUCUCAAAUAUUUUUCUCUUUCACAUGAAUCCAAUAGUCAAUGGCCAAUGUAUAUUGCUUUUAGGUUUUGUAAUCUAUUCAUGGUCUUAUUCAGGUUGAAUGUGAGAAGAAAAGAAAAUUCAUAAUAUCAGUGCAUGGCCAUGAAAAUAUUUUCUUCGAUUCGGAAAUCCAAGAACACUUCUCACUCGAGUUCUUAAACUGAUCUUUCUGGAAAUCAGAACCAUUUUUGAGUUCUUAAUUUCAUCUUUUCGAGAACCCCGAAAAUUCAGAUACAUUUAGAGGAUCACCAUGAGAAGAUAAGAGAGAUGGAUGAAAACCAAGUCAAAUGAUCAAAGCUAAAAGUCAAAACAAUGUCAGCUUACAGGAAGCCAAAACAUAAAGCUAAAUCAUAAGAGCCUGACCUAUGAACAUGAAGUCAAGUGCUAAACUAUACAUGCUGAACGACGAAACUAAAGCCAUAAGAUUGCUUUAAAGGAAUCUAAAUUGAAUCAUAUACACAAGAUCGAAUCAUUCUCGGGAAGCCAACGAAAAAGAUCAUUCAUGCAUACAAAGUCAAACCAUUUCCACUAAGCUAGUCAGCACACCUUAUUCUCCAGUGCUUCUAUUCUUCAUACAAUCCCUUGCAUUGCAUGUAAGUGCAUUAAUUUAUUCCCGUCCUACAUAGCCAGUAUUCUAUCAGGGAUUCAGCAUCUUAUUAGUGAAUGAAAGAAGUUUGUUCCUGCAAUAAGUACUUUCAAGCAAGUCAAGUGUCUAUUGAGAUACUGACUCUACAGUAUGUGUACAGAAUUGAGGUGUGUCCUGUUCAAUUUUUUAUUGAACUUAAAUCAUGUGUUCUGGAUAAAGUGAAUAGGAAAAUGAACACCUUUGCAUUCUACACUGUUGAUGGAUGAGGAACACACCUCUGCAGGGUAUGGGUGAACAUGUGAACAUAGCUCCAUAUGUUUCUAUAUCCCAUGUUUGUUCCCUUGUGCUUCUUACAAUGUUCCUUUAUCACUUUACUACACCUUAGCUGUUGUGCACUCAUGCUAUUAUAUCUUGGUGUGAUGUUAUUGAUUAAUAUAUGUAACUAUUAUUACUGUUAUACUUUUUUUUUUUCAUAACUUCAAUUUUUUUAUUAAAGAAAUCACAUCGAUUUGAGGUUAGAUAUCUCAUAUAAUUUUAUUUUUAUUGAUGCACACUAGGUAUGUUCAUGAGUUGUGUAUUGAAUUAGAGUGGGAUAGAAAUCAUCGCAAUGAGGAUAUCUUGCCCUCCUGUUUGAAUCCAAUGGUAAACAGCUUAUAGAACUUGCAAAUUCUCCAUAAACUACAAACUCCGUGGGCAGAAAUGAUUGGCUAAAUACAGAAUAAUGGUUCUGAUGUUGAUUCAAGAGUUUCAUAGACAAUUAUAAAGUAGUAUUUUCAUAAAUAAUUUAAUGUAAAUUUAUCUCCAUCUGAACACUUUUAUCAUCUUUACUAAGUAUUAUCGACGGCUAAUUACAGAUUAACCUCAUUUCAAUCUCUACACUUUAAAUAUUUACAUCAUCAUCCUUAAAAUUACGAAUGUCAUUUAAAUCCAUUUAUUUUAAUGACAUUAAUUUUAUUAACGAAAAAAUAAAAAUAAAAAAUAAGAUAAGGUCGACUCUCACUACGAUACCACCCGCCUCUACGAGAAGCUUACUACCCGCCCCACGUCGCUAUGUAUCUGUGUCGACGUUGACACAGUUGCCAACGCCGAUGCUAAUGGUGAUGGUUACAACGACAUAUACAAUAAAAAUGGUGAAAAACUCGUCACAGACCUGUUAGGUGGAUCUCAACCUCAACCCAAAGCUAAAGUCACCAAACUCCUACCGCCUAAGUGGAUCUCAACCUCAACCCAAAGCUAAAGUCACCAAACUCCUACCGCCUAAGUUCCAACACCACCUCUCGUUGAGUAACCCUUUUACCGUCUUGCAAGAACUGACAUAACAAAAGCUCCAACAACCCCAACUUCAAGUCAAGACUAAGAUCCGCCCAACAAAUCAACAACAAGAUGACCACCAUCUUCACAGUAGGCAUUGCAACGACCACCACUAUUUACAUCUAUAUCGUAUUUACAUCUACAUCGACAAAAUUAUCACUCGACAACUGCACCUUCAGACAUACAUGCAAAGCAAGUAGGGUGAUCGACAAAACGCUUCUUAAAGACACAAGUAGCAUUGCAAUGAGAGAAAAUAUUAUCAUCAUCGAAUACAACUACAUCAACAUUGACAUCAGCAUCCACAACCAUCGAUCGUCAUCAAACAUUAAAAUUAUAUUUUUAUCAUUUAUUUUCAUGUUUUCAUCAAUAAAACUAAUAUCGUUAUGAUUAAUAAAUCCAAAUGUUUCACUUUUAUAACUAUAAAUAUAAUUAACUCUAAAAAAUAUAAAAAAUAUUAAACAAUUAACUAUAAAAUUAAUCUAUAAUUACCCCCUCAUUAGAAUUAUCUUAUUGAUUCCUUGUCAUAAGGACCACCACCAUUUACAAGACACAUACAAAGUAACUCAAGACGAUCGACAAAUUACUUCUAAUGAAAGCUAGUGGCAUCACGAUAAGAGAAAAUCUUAUCAUCAUUGGAGACAACUAAACAACUACAUCAUCAUUGACACCAACAUCCACGACCACCAACAUCAUCAAUCAUCAAACAUUAAAAUUAUAUUUUUACUUUUUAAUUUCAUAUUUUCAUCGAUAAAACUAACAUUAUUAAAAUAAAUAAACAUAUAUAUUUCAAUUUCGUACCCAUAAAUAUCUCACAAUUUUACAAAGAUAGCUAACUACAAACUUAAUCUAUAAUUACCCUCAUUAGAAUUAUCUCAUUGAUUACAUGUCGCUAUACAUGAUUAUCCAUACCAACAUCAAUUUUUCAAAUCCCAUUUUUACUAAAUCACGUCGAUAAAAUGAGUUUUAGCAUCAGGCAAAGUCAAUCAAAGCAAACCACAGUACAUGUAGAUGCCUGCAUUAUUGCUGUCGUCUCUGAUUCGGAUGCCAUGCCGUGUAGCUUUGCUGAAUCGCCUCAUUAAGCAUUCAAGACUCCUGCAGUCAGUCAGAUCUUCCAUAACUUGAUCAUCAAGAACAAGAUUUACAUGCCCGAUCAUACGCCCAACAAGCUAUUAACAAUCCAUUGAAUGCACCUAAAGUUCUAAAUAACGGUUGUGAAAAGAAAUUAAAAGGUGAGAGUGUUCGUAUCAUCUACAUUACCACAAAACAUCAUCUAUAUUAUUCAGGUCUAUCACCACAGAUUUGCUAGACAAAAAAAGGUGCGAUGAUGGAAGUUCCUGUAAGCAUGUGAUCCAAUAACAUCAUGUAAUACAUACCUGCUUGAACAGAGUUGCAAUCUUACCACUGUUGUACAUCAUGAGGAAGCAUUUAUGCCUAUAAUCUCUUGAGGUUGUCACCAGUAAUUUACUUUGUAAUCUAAUCAACACAGCAGUCAGUACAAGCAAGAGUUGUGCCCAUGGAAUAUUAAACUCCAUGCUUGCCUUAUUACCUAUGAUCAAUUGUAUAAACAGUUCUCCAAAUGAUAUAUAAACUUCCCACACAAACACUUAAUGUUAAAUCCCUCCAUAUCUAAUGUCUAUAAAUUCCAGAUUUUUAUUUGUAAAGCCAUCUUCAGAAUGGACUUUUCUGUCGCACAAGAUUGCCCCUUUUCAAUAAAUCAAUAGCCCAAAUUGGACUCAGUACACUCAUCCACACAUGAUUCAUAUCAAAAAACGAUCUAAUUCAGUUCAUAAGUUGUUCGAUUAAACUUAAUUACAAGUUAAACAAACAACUCGCUUUUCAAACUUCAGAACGUCCCACUGAUAUUCUAUAAAUUGCAGACAAAAUAAUUUCAAACACUAUAUUAUUGUGCUGUAUUCAGAUUUCGUUGUUUUCAAGUAUUUUACAAAACAUAGCUCCAAAAAUGUAUGACGCCAUAGAAGAAUCAUGAUUCACAAUGGAAGACAGACCACGAAUCACAGACAUAAAUUGAUUCCAAAGCAAAAGACACAUGCUACUAAAAAUAUAAUGGCAAGUCAACAACAAUUGAUACAACCAUCUGGUAGUGGCAUUAAAGAUCAACACCGAACAUUGUGCCCCUUAACAAUUACCGAGCUAUAUGUUAUAUAACAAAACAUCUGGUUUUCCCUUUGGAAAUUCUUUGAUAAAGUUUGGAUGUAAUAUGGACGCCCACCAUCCAAAUAUACAAUUCAUAAAUGCCAACGGCACUUGAUUCGCAGAAGCAACAAGACAGCAUCUUGGUAAAUAUAUAAUCACCAUAAAAAAAAUUAAGAAAAAACAUUGAGCACAACACAUGCUACAACUUAAAAUGCAGAAAUAGCCAGCAAUACAUAAAACAAAAUAAGAACGCUCAUAUAGUUACAGCAAAGCAUAAAAGACGAACGUAGUAUGUAAGCAGGGUAUAAGUAACAGGAAGCUCACUAGAAGUAGAGCAACCAGUGUCGCAAGACCUGUUCUUCCCUCUCUGCCAUUCUAACGAGAUGCCCAGCCACCGACAUCAAGACUGAGCAUCAGAUACCAAUGGCAUAUAAAACAUCGAACGAUCAUUCCAACUUGAAAAAAACUCGCAGUCUCAGCCGAAAGAUGGUGAUAUUUGGUGAGUUAAUCACAGAAAACUCAGCACUUAAUUGUACCUUCAUCACCGACUGCAAAUCAAAUUCAUCACUUUCUCUAAUUUCGCAUAGAAAAACGUAAUCUUUCUAAAAAAAUUCAAAUACCUAGGAAGUAAAAUGAACGAAACUUCAUCACUAAGUAGGGAGAUCAGAUGGUAGUGCAUGUAUUGUGAUGAUUCAUCAUCUGGAGUGCAGAAAGAAACUAUGGAUUUGGCAUCAUCAAUUCUCCCGUUUAAUAUAAAAUCCCAAAAAACCAAAAGCGAAAAAGAUUAAAAUUUUUAAGGACGGGUAGAGAGAUCUGAGGAAGGAAUCAGAUAAAAAUGUCGAUCACCAUCAUCCGUUUCGGAAAACAAAACGGAUCGUAAGACUGGGGCGACAUAAACCUAUCAUCACGUUCCUACAGAAUUCAAUUCUGCCGCUCAAGAAAACAGAGAAAAGAAAUCGAAGAUAAGACGAACAAUCAGAGAAGAAGAAGAGGAGGAGGAGGAGGGGACGAAAUCUGCGUAGGGUUGAGGCGUUCGGUCAAGGUUGGGAAGCGGCGGGGUUUUAAAGAGGGAGAUUAGGGUUUCAGGACGUUGCGGCGGCUCGUGAAACGGGUCCGUGAGAAACGGCUGUGUAACGCGGUCUUCUCUCCGUUAUCAGCGAUAUAACGGGAUGCCGGUUGAGCGGGUUCGAUUGCGGAUCCGGAUCCGGAUCCGGAUCCUAACAAUAGACUUGUAAUUGUAAUUCACGAAAUUGAUUGAAUCUCAAGCACAAAGUUCAGUGUUAUGUAUCAAUCUGGCAAGUAUGUUCCAAAUUAUCUUUAAGUUUUUGAACAUUCCUAACGAAAAAAGACUCAAGGUUUUGGAUUUUUUCUUAAAGUUCCGAUCAUUUAUAUAUUUUUCAAAGAGAUCUUCCAUUUAUAAAAAAGAUCAAAACAUCCUUUUUGAUCUUUUUAUAACCUAAGACAUUCCUAGUAAAAAGUAAGACUUAUCAUCCUUUAUCUUAAAAUAUAUCAAAAUAUUUUUAAUUUUAAUUCAAAAUUCACUUAAGAACUCUUAAAUAAACUAUUUUAUGAAACCUUAAUACGGAUAAUAAAGUUUAUAAUUAAUAUUUAUGAGGAUUAGAAUUAAUUCAU
rnacentral:lncRNA from 1 species